rnacentral:hammerhead_ribozyme from 1 species
AUCCAACUGGCGAGUCCCAAAUAGAAAGAAACGCGCGUCCUGGAU